rnacentral:tRNA from 1 species
GGAGAGAUGGCAGAGUGGUCGAUUGCGGCGGUCUUGAAAACCGUUGAACUGAAUGGUUCCUGGGGUUCGAAUCCCUAUCUCUCCG